rnacentral:rRNA from 1 species
GACGAACGCUGGCGGCGUGCUUAACACAUGCAAGUCGAACGGAAAGGCCCCUUUGGGGGUCCUCGAGUGGCGAACGGGUGAGUAACACGUGAGUAACCUGCCCUUGACUUCGUGAUAACUUCAGGAAACUGGGGCUAAUACCGGAUAGGAAUCCUUGCUGCAUGGUGGGGGUUGGAAAGCUUCGGCGGUUUUGGAUGGACUCGCGGCUUAUCAGCUUGUUGGUGGGGUAGUGGCUUACCAAGGCUUUGACGGGUAGCCGGCCUGAGGGGGCGACCGGCCACAUUGGGACUGAGGUACGGCCCAGACUCCUACGGGGGGGAGCAGGGGGGAAUAUUGCACAAUGGGCGGAAGCCUGAUGCAGCAACGCCGCGUGCGGGAUGACGGCCUUCGGGUUGUAAACCGCUUUCAGCAGGGGCGAAGCUUGUGGUGACGGUACCUGCAGAAGAAGCACCGGCUAACUACGUG